UCGGGUAUAGCUGAGCAGUAGAGCGCGUGCCUAGCAUGCACAGGGCCUGGGUUCAAUCCCCAGCACCUCUG
rnacentral:tRNA from 1 species